ACAGUUUUCUCCCUCAACCCCCCCUCUGCCCAUAUCCCUCACUUCUCUCCUCUUUCUCGCACAUCAUAGCUGAAGAUAUUGUCGGCAUUGCGACGCUCACGACGUCGGCACCACGCCGCGGUACUCAAGACCCCACCACCGGAGCGACAUUACUCUGAAGCAGCUAACCACGACGUUCAAGACGCUACCAUCGGUUGCGCUUCUCUGAAGUAGCCAAUGCCACUGCGAAGUUACUGGGCUCCCGUCAUUCCAAAGCAACCAACGACGCUUAAGACGUCGCCCUGCGCCAUUCUCGGCUUUCUUGCCAUAGUGGAUCUCAUACAUCAGAGCAGCCACCGCUGCUAUUAGUCGCAGAUUCGACGUAUAAGAGCGGCCUCGAUCCAUGGAUCACCAAUCUCAGAGAGAAGCCACCAAAUUUAAUCGUCGAAACUGCCCAGUCAACCACAUACAAUAGACUUUAAUUUAUGUCGAUAGCAUUCUGACCACUAAUAAUUUCCACUUGGCGCUGAGAUCUUUAUUUUUGUUGUUGGAGUGGUGGUGACGAUGAUGGUUUUCUAUGUUUUGGUGUUGGGUUUUUAGGGUGCUGAGUUAGUGGUCAUAAACGGUUUUGUUGGUGUUGGUGGUGUCAUCGUUGCUACCGUCGUUGUGGUUGUGAAGUAGUGGUGGUUUUUGGUGGUGAAUGUUAGUUUGUCUGAGUUGGUGCACAUGGUAGUAAUGUUGCCAAUUGUCAUGACGUGGCGACAGUGGUAUUGGCGGCGGUAUCAUUGGAGGUAGUGGUGAGGUAUAGGUAACAAAUGGUGGUGAUAGUAAUAGAUUAUUUGAUUAAUUGUGACCAAUAAAUUUGUUAAUGUGUGAUCAAUAAUAUAACAUGUGACUAAUGAAAUAGCGGUGGUGAGAUGGUGGUUUUGAUUUUUAGUACAGGCGGUGGUGGUCUAGUGAUUGUGAGAUGGUGGUUUUGGUGGUGAUGGGGUUGUGUUGGGUUGGGAUUGUAUAAAGAGGGUCUAUGAUCAAUUAUUUAGUUCUUGUGAUCAAUAAAUUGGUUAAUUAUUAUCAAUAAAUA
rnacentral:lncRNA from 1 species